rnacentral:rRNA from 1 species
CCUACGGGUGGCAGCAGUAGGGAAUUUUGCGCAAUGGGGGAAACCCUGACGCAGCAACGCCGCGUGAUCGAUGAAGCCCUUCGGGGUGUAAAGAUCUGUCAGUAGGGACGAAACCUGCCGUUCCCCACAAAGGAAGCACCGGCUAACUCCGUGCCAGCAGCGGCGGUAAUACGGGGGAUGCAAGCGUUGUCCGGAUUCAUUGGGCGUAAAGAGUUCGUAGGUGGCACGUUAAGUCUGAUGGUAAAGACGGAAGCUCAACGUCGGUAGGGCAUUGGAUACUGGCGGGCUUGAAUGCGGUAGAGGUAAAGGGAAUUCCUGGUGUAGCGGUGAAAUGCGUAGAUAUCAGGAGGAACAUCGGUGGCGAAAGCGGUUUACUGGGCCGUAAUUGACACUGAGGAACGAAAGCCGGGGGAGCAAAUGGGAUUAGAUACCCGGGUAGUC